rnacentral:rRNA from 1 species
CUACGGGAUGCUGCAGUCGAGAAUUUUUCACAAUGGGGGAAACCCUGAUGGAGCGACGCCGCGUGGGGGAUGAAGGGCUUCGGUUCGUAAACCCCUGUCAUUGGCGAACAAGUGUUGCGUCCUAAUACGGCGCAACUUGAUAGUAGCCGAAGAGGAAGGGACGGCUAACACUGUGCCAGCAGCCGCGGUAAUACAGAGGUCCCGAGCGUUGUUCGGAUUCACUGGGCGUAAAGGGUGCGUAGGUGGUUGGUUAAGUUUGAGGUGAAAGCUCCGAGCUCAACUCGGAAAAUGCCUUGAAGACUAUCUGACUAGAGGAUUGGAGGGGAGAUGGGAAUUCUCGGUGUAGCAGUGAAAUGCGUAGAUAUCGAGAGGAACACCAGUGGCGAAGGCGAAUCUCUGGACAAUUCCUGACACUGAGGCACGAAAGCCAAGGGAGCAAACGGGAUUAGAUACCCGAGUAGUC